rnacentral:rRNA from 1 species
GAUGAACGCUGGCGGCGUGCCUAAUACAUGCAAGUCGAGCGAACAGACGAGGAGCUUGCUCCUCUGACGUUAGCGGCGGACGGGUGAGUAACACGUGGAUAACUUACCUAUAAGACUGGGAUAACUUCGGAAAACCGGGGCUAAUACCGAAUAAUAUUUGAAACCUCAUGGUCCAAUAUUAAAAGAGGGUUUUCCUUUCCCUUUAAGAUGGUUCCCCGCCGCAUUAGCUAGUUGGUAAGGUAAGGGCUUACCAAGGCAACGAUGCGUAGCCGACCUGAGAGGGUGAUCGGCCACACUGGAACUGAGACACGGUCCAGACUCCUACGGGAGGCAGCAGUAGGGAAUCUUCCGCAAUGGGCGAAAGCCUGACGGAGCAACGCCGCGUGAGUGAUGAAGGUCUUCGGAUCGUAAAACUCUGUUAUUAGGGAAGAACAAAUGUGUAAGUAACUAUGCACGUCUUGACGGUACCUAAUCAGAAAGCCACGGCUAACUACGUG